CAUCCAUCCUGGCUUUGAAUGCCUCCAAAGAUGGGGCAUCCCCAUCUUCUCUGGGCAGCCUGUGCCAGUACUUCACCACCCUCUGAGUAAAGAAUUUUUUCCUAAAAUCUAACCUAAAUGUCCAAACCCUGCUGACUUGUUCACAGGAGAGAUCACCUUAAACCAACUGCCUACUCACCUGGGUUGCAGCCACCCUAAGCCCUGUACCCCUGGCACCAGCACAAGUUUAGGGGAGAGACCUUCACUUCUUGCUCUGCCUCUGUGGGAAAGAAUCACUCCGGGUUUCAGAGGUGUUUCUUGUGACCACGAGGACAAGCAUCAGCCAAGGACUUUGAUCAUUUUGGUGCCUGGAGAUCUUGCUUUACACAUCACCAGGUUGAAGCUCUGACCUUGGGGAGGUCAGGGGAGCCACCAAGCUGUGAGCUCUACAGACCACUACCAGACCUGAGGAAGAAGAGGAGGCACUUAC
ensembl:lncRNA